GAAGAGGCCAAACUCAGGCACCAGGAACGGGGUGAAGGGCUACAGUAGGAGGCCCUGCACCCCUUAGAAAGGGUUUUAUGAGAAGAUGAAAGCUCUCUGGCCCCCGGCGGUUGGAUGAAGGCAUCGCAAUCUUUGCUACUCCUCUGCGGCGAGCCUAGAGCAUAUUCUGAGUGACGUCAGUUUGGGGGAUCCAGAGAUUUCGGGCGCCCUUUAAGUACCAUGUUA
rnacentral:lncRNA from 1 species